UUUCCGUAGGUGAACCUGCGGAAGGAUCAUUCAUAAUAAAGUGUUUUAUGGCACUUUUUAAAAAUCCAUAUCCACCUUGUGUGCAAUGUUAGAUCUCGUCAAUCUUGGCGAGAUUUUUAUACAUCAACUCAUUUUUUAACUAAUUUGUCUGAAAAAUAUUAUGAAUACUUAAUUCAAAAUACCACUUUCAACAACGGAUCUCUUGGCUCUC
rnacentral:misc_RNA from 1 species